CAGAGACAGACUACUCUCUUUUAUGGAAGAGGAGAGGAGAACAGAGUAGAUAGGACUGGAGUGGAUUGGGAGAGUAGGAGCAGCAGCUGGGGAGGGAGUUGCCGCCCGGCCGACGCCUGGCGUCUAGGGGGCGUUAGGAAGGCAGUCUCCCCGAGUUCCUUAGGGCGGCUUAUAAUAAUCCGCCCGCCUCCUUAUAUUCCCUGUUUUUGCCCCGUCGGGUGAGACGAAAAAGCCAGAGUGGGUUUGCCUGGAGUCAUAGUCAGACGUAGUGACCCUAACAAACAAAGUAAAGGUUCUAGUUUAAGGACUAUAAUACUACGAGAUACUUGGCGUUGGACCUUGCCACUUAGGGCCAGCGCUUACACGCCCGCUUUCGCGUUCUCUCCUCCCGCGUAGUCGAACUCAUGUCUGUUCGCCGCCCUGUCUGUCCCGGCUACCGUUACCGUUAACUUAACCGGCUGUUUAACGAGGACCACGAGGCCUCGAUGAGUGACGGACAGACCCGGUGGUAGUAGAGCCCCGAGAAGCAGCAGCAGAGCCAGAGCGACAGGUAGAUGAACGAGAACUUGGUGGAGAGCCGGAUGUUCUUGGGUCUCCUCGUCUUCAAGGAGCAGCCACAACAAGACUACCACGGCUAUAUACGUUAGCUCAGCAUAUAUAGUAACCACUUAGGUUGUUAACCACAUCUAUAACUCUAAGACGCUCUGCCUAUGCUCCGUAAACGGUACAUGACAAAGCCCGCCAUAGAUCAACGCACGAAUCCACCUCUCCUAUCCUGCUAACUUAAAGACUUCUUCCUCCCGUCAAGUCCAAGACUACGUGGUGAAAAUCCGUUACGUAGGCUUCUUGCUGUACACUUGGUGGGAAAAGGCUACUUAAUGUACAACUUGGGUACCGGGCAACCGCUUACCAAGAUGAACCAUCAAUUCAAACCCGAACAGGUUAUAUACUAUUAUUUCUGUUAUACACGAGAAGAACGCCACUAAGAACUUAGGAAACCCCACAUGACGCUUCCUCUCAAAUUUACCUCGACACCCAUGAGAAUGUGACGGUACCGAGAGUUAAAGUCAGUCAGUACCCGGAAUAUGACAGAGCAAGUUAAAAUGCGGCAGUAUUUCCUGCUCGAUCGGGUAUAUUUCGGGGAUCGCUUCAAAGACUGUAAGUUCAGAUAACACAAGAAUUGUACCACCGUUCCACACCGUUAUCGCAACGAGAGGUCGACCCCGAACAACUCUCCGGGAUAUCGAGUUCUCAACGUCAAGUUCAGGUCGUAAGUCCUGAAAUAGUAGACGUAUCUCUACCCAAAACGACGACAAUAAGUGGAAAUGCAGAAGGGACGGUUCGGUAUGCUCGAUUACCCGCUAGCAAUGUAGCCUCUACAAAGUCAAGACCCUCUGAUACGAAGUCAACUGACGGGAGAUCUAGGUCUGCUUCAAUUUCUAUCGCUCGCGGGUUGGUUCUAAUCCGAAGGGGUCGGUCUACUAGUGCAGUCUACGAGGUGACGGUAUUUUCUUUCGCAGGCGCUACAACAUGAACCUCCUCCGCUUAUAUAACACUUACUGAACUUCAAGUGGCACUUGGUGCGCCACCUCGGCUAGUUGCUCUUCUAGGUGGUCUAUAGGGUCUUGUACUUCUUCGUGCUAUUUCUGUUCUCUUGCUUGCUGCUGUCGACGUAGCUGAGCGGCGCUAGGAACGUGUCCCACUAGUCACCCUAGCUACUGGGCGAUGACUUGCCCUCGGAGUCGCUGUUGUCGCCGGGGUUCUCUCGCGCCUCCGUCGUCGCGUCCUCCAGCCCACACCCCUGGUCGCCGCUCUGGUCGCUGGUACCCGACCCGCCCAUGCUCUAGGCCCCUGUGUCCACCUAGUGUUUCCUCACUCCUCCUAGUCCUAGCUUGGGGCCAGACGUGACGUCGUAACUUAAGGAAAGCUUGACUUCGCGACCGACGAGACCUAGAACUCCUGACGAUUCGGACUUUCCGUCAUUAGUCUAGUGGAUUUAAGAACUACUUAGGCCCUCCGUCACGAACGUCUUCGUUCUAUACACAGUUAGUGGGGUACUGUGCCGCUUAGCUCGAUCGCUAAAAAACCGACUGAUAAAGUCGACGACUACUGUAGCUUAGAGUGUAUAACUUGUCAUAUCGUCCUAAUGAUGUCGUUUCUCUUCCUACCAGUACUGUCCAAAGUAUGUAGUAGUAAGUAUUUGGAAAACCUACUUAUAGAAGAAGACAUUACAUGUCUGAUUCUAUAUUUAUUUUCCUAAUUAUCUACAAAGCAGCUACUCCGCAGUCCAGAACGAGUCAACAGUAGUAACAGUGUGACAAUAAUACCGUACUGGGCAGCCUCGUCUAUCACUUCACA
rnacentral:rRNA from 1 species